GAACCGCGAUAGGUAAUGCGACUUGCAGUCCUCCGCGAAUCAUCAAAUCUUUGAACGCAACUUGCGCUCUCGGGAUAUACCUGGGAGCAUGCCUCUCUGAGUAUCGAUUUCACCCCUCAACUAGGCCUUCCUUUUGCUAAGUUCCAGUGUGCCAGUCUGGCCGGGAAUGGCGCGGGGAAUGUGUCUCUGGUUGGUGAUGCAUGAGUUGUCUCGCUUUCCAUAAGAAGCGAGUCACUUGAGGUUCAGUGGAUCGUUCUUCAACCGGGGGCUCCAACGCCUCUGCGACGCUUUGGUAGAGACACAGUUUGUGGCUUCUUUUGAGCGUUGCUGCACAGGCGUUCCUCGGGAUCCAACCGUCCAGCCCCAGGGUCUGGGGCGGGAAACUCCUCUCUGAACAAGAUCUCAGAUGAAGCAAGAAUACCCCCUGAAUUUAA
rnacentral:misc_RNA from 1 species